CAGGGAUGACAGGAAACACCAUCGUGAAAGGACAGAGCUUAGGCCUACCUCCUCCAGUGCAUUCGGGAGUUUGAUGGACGGCAUUUUGCCCUGAAAGAGUGUGUGGUCUCUCUGAUUAAGUGGUUCUCAACAGUUCAACAGUUCUUUGAGAAAAUUGUGAAAUGUUUAGGACCACUUGACCAGGCAGACGAAUGCUGUCAACCAGUCGAGGCAAAAAUGCUCCCGUUGUAUGGAUCUAUAAAGGAAAGAAAACAUCUCCCAAGACUUCUAAUGACUUCAACAAGCACUGUGUGAUUUCCUGCUGACGUUUCUCUCCGUCUUCUGCUCUCCUUGUGCCCUCUGGUGUUACAAUGACAACUGCAGGCCAGAUUCUGUGUGUGAAGGGGGGGCUGUAAAAAUCAGCAGGCCUCAGUCUUUUCGUUCUGCUGGCACGUGUACAGAUUUUUAUAGCUCUGCUGCUGCACCUUUUUGCUGCUUUACUAUUGUCACUAUUCAGAAGUACUGAUUAAAACAAGUCAAUAAAAAGCCA